GACGAACGCUGGCGGCGUGCUUAACACAUGCAAGUCGAGCGGAAAGGCCCGGCUCUUGUGGCGUGCGCGAGUGGCGAGCGCGUGUGUAUCACGCGAGUAACCUGCGCUUGUCUGCGGGAUAACAUCAGGAAACACGGGCUAAUACCGCAUAUAAACUCCUGCUGCACGGUGUGGGUUGGAGAGAGGCGGCGGUUGGGGAUGGACUCGCGGCUUAUGAGCUUGUUGGUGAGGUAGUGGCUUACCAAGGCUUUGACGGGUAGCCGGACUGAGAGUGUGACCGGCCCCAUUGUGACUGGGGUAGGGCCCAGACUCCUACGUGAGGCAGCGGUGGGAAACAGUGCACACUGGGCGGAAGCCUGAUGCAGCGACGCCGGGUGCGAGAUCACGGCUUUCGGGUUGUAAACCGCUUUCGCCUGUGACGAAGAGUUAGUGACGGUAACGGGUAAAGAAGCACCGGCUAACUACGUG
rnacentral:rRNA from 1 species